rnacentral:ncRNA from 1 species
ACCGAUGCGUUGAAGAAGAGGAGUAGUUAGAGCAAUUGCACUUCCAGAGAGCCGGGGAAGGAUGGAAGCCCGGCAGUGCGGCUUGAUGAAGGGCACUUUGGAGCAGAAGCUUAAAAGAGGGCUUGGAUAGUAUGUUUUCAGGCCAAAAAGGGUGGAACCGCGGAAGUAAACCUUUCGUCCCUUAU